UGGAUUCUAGAUGAAUCUCAGAGAAGGUUUUCUUACAGGAGCCGGUAAUAUGCCUGAAUACAUGACAAGUUUCCCUAUGACGUCAUUGACACUCGACGCCAUCGCAUGCAAAGAGGAGGACGCAGUUGUUGUAGAAUAUAUACUGAAAGGUCGAUACAUUUCAUCACGCCAGAUCUGUUCUGGCUCUCCUUUGGAGCCAACUUGUCACUACAGGGAUGCAUGGCAAUAUGGUGGGC